rnacentral:rRNA from 1 species
CCUUAACCCGAGGGAGGAUCCGUCGGACGGAAGUGCGGGUGCAACACCCCGGCUUCUGCUCUCCGCGGCGCACUCCCGGGGCGUCCCGACCGCUACUUGCCGGCGGGGCGCACCAUGAGCGCAUACGUUGGGACCCGAAAGAUGGUGAACUAUGCUUGGUCAGGACGAAGCCAGAGGAAACUCUGGUGGAGGUCCGUAGCGAUUCUGACGUGCAAAUCGAUCGUCGGAGCUGAGUAUAGGGGCGAAAGACUAAUCGAACCAUCUAGUAGCUGGUUCCCUCCGAAGUUUCCCUCAGGAUAGCUGGUGUUCGGAGAGUCGGUUAGACUAUUAACAGUCUCAUCCGGUAAAGCGAAUGAUUAGAGGCCUUGGGGCCGAAAUAGCUUCAACCUAUUCUCAAACUUUAAAUGGGUGAGAAGUCGGGCUUGCUUGACUGUGAAGCCU